rfam:TPA: Bos taurus chromosome X, whole genome shotgun sequence.
UCCCUGGUGGCUCAGAUGGUAAAGCAUCUGCCUACAAUGCGGGAGACCCAGGUUCGAUCCCUGGGUUGGGAA